CAGCCGCCGCGGUAACACCAGCCCCUCGAGUGGUGGGGACUAUUAUUUGGCCUAAAGCGUCCGUAGCCGGCUGCAGCCGUCACCCGUUAAAUCCAGCGUCUCAAGCGUUGGACUGCGGGUGAUACCCUGCAGCUUGAGGGUGGGACAGGUUAGCGGUAUUCCCGGGGUAGGGGCGAAAUCCUUUGAUCCCGGGAGGACCACCAGUGGCGAAGGCUGCUGACUAGAACACGCCUGACGGUCAGGGACGAAAGCUGAGGUAGCGAACCGGAUUAGAUACCCGGGUAGUCCCAGCUGUAAACGAUGCACGCUAGGUGUUGGGUCGGCCACGCGCCGCCCCAGUGCCGCAGGGAAGCCGUUAAGCGUGCCGCCUGGGGAGUACGGCCGCAAGGCUGAAACUUAAAGGAAUUGGCGGGGGAGCAC
rnacentral:rRNA from 1 species